rnacentral:rRNA from 1 species
UGGGGAAUUUUGGACAAUGGGCGAAAGCCUGAUCCAGCAAUGCCGCGUGUGUGAAGAAGGCCUUCGGGUUGUAAAGCACUUUUGUCCGGAAAGAAAUCCUUGGCUCUAAUACAGUCGGGGGAUGACGGUACCGGAAGAAUAAGCACCGGCUAACUACGUGCCAGCAGCCGCGGUAAUACGUAGGGUGCAAGCGUUAAUCGGAAUUACUGGGCGUAAAGCGUGCGCAGGCGGUUUGCUAAGACCGAUGUGAAAUCCCCGGGCUCAACCUGGGAACUGCAUUGGUGACUGGCAGGCCAGAGUAUGGCAGAGGGGGGUAGAAUUCCACGUGUAGCAGUGAAAUGCGUAGAGAUGUGGAGGAAUACCGAUGGCGAAGGCAGCCCCCUGGGCCAAUACUGACGCUCAUGCACGAAAGCGUGGGGAGCAAACAGGAUUAGAUACCCUGGUAGUCCACGCCCUAAACGAUGUCAACUAGUUGUUGGGGGAUUCAUUUCCUUAGUAACGUAGCUAACGCGUGAAGUUGACCGCCUGGGGAGUACGGUCGCAAGAUUAAAACUCAAAUGAAUUGACGGGGUCAUA